UUAUAAGAAAUGAUUAGAUUUAAAUAGGUGUUAACCCUGAAAAACACGCGCACCAACACAGCUCUGUAUUAUUUCCUGACCCACCAUUGAUUCGUUGAAAGCUACAGUGGUGGUGUUUGAGCCAGGUUCUUGUUUUUGGUUAUCAAGGCAACUUGUAUGCAAAUGCAGAUGCUGCCAACCUCAACACUAGUGGACAUUCUGUCAAGUUCAUUUUCUGGAAAGCUUCUCAAGUUGUUAUCAAUUGUGUCUAAUGCAUCACUGGAAAGUGUUUGUUGCUGUAAGAUUUGAUCAGUGUCACCUUGGAUAGUUGCAGGAUCAGGCAAUUUUGGCUGGACUUCUUCUGUGUUUGUUGCUGUGACAUUUGAUCAAUAUCUUCUUGGACAGAUGUUGGAGUGGGCAAUGUGUGUUGUAUUUCUUCCUCCGCUAACUGUUUUUCUAUUGAUUCUUCAAUA